NAUCCCGUGAACCAUCGAGUCUUUGAACGCAAGUUGCGCCCAAAGCCUUCGGGCCGAGGGCACGUCUGCCUGGGCGUCACGCAUCGCGUCGCCCCCCCUCCAUCCCCCCCUCGUGGGUGGAUGCGUCGAGGGGGGCGGACAAUGGCCUCCCGUGCGCACCGCGCGCGCCCGGCCC
rnacentral:rRNA from 1 species